CCCCACGUUCGGAUCGCAGCCUGCAACCCGGCUGCGUGAAGCUGGAAUCGCUAGUAAUCGCGGAUCAGAAUGCCGCGGUGAAUACGUUCCCGGGUCUUGUACACACCGCCCGUCACACCAUGGGAGCCGGAAACGCCCGAAGCCAGUGGCCUGACCGAAAGGAGGGAGCUGUCGAAGGCGGGUCCUGUGACCGGGGUGAAGUCGUAACAAGGUACC
rnacentral:rRNA from 1 species